GCAAGGGCGUAUGGUGGAUGCCUUGGCAGACAGGACCGAUGAAGGACGUUUGAGGCUGCGAUAUGCCUCGGGGAGCCGCCAACAGGGCUUUGAUCCGAGGAUUUCCGAAUGGGGGAACCCACCGGCCGUCAUGGGCCGGUACCGCCGUGUGCGGGGGGUACGCAGGGAAGUGAAACAUCUCAGUACCUGCAGGAAAGGAUAUUCCGUGAGUAGUGGCGAGCGAAAGCGGAUCAGGCCAAACCUUGCGCGUGUGAUACCCGUCGGGGGUUGCGCGCGGGGUGUAGAGGGAUCGCGUUUGCCGGCUCCGACGGGCCGGCCGUCAGUUGCAUAAAACCAUGUGCCAGGGGAACCGGGUUGAAUACCGGGCCGCAGAGGGUGAGGGCCCCGUACCCGAACGCGCAUGGUCUGGCGAUCGCGUCUCCCAAGUAGCACGGGCCCCGUGGAAUCCCGUGCGAAUCUGUCCCGACCGUGGGAUAAGCCUAAAUAUUCCUGUCUGACCGAUAGCGAACGAGUACCGUGAGGGAAAGGUGAAAAGUACCCCGGGAGGGGAGUGAAACAGUCUCUGAAACCAUGCGCCUACGAACCGUCGGGGCCCUCUUGUGGGGUGACGGCGUGCCUAUCGAAAAAUGAGUCUGCGAGUCAGUGGCAUGUGGCGAGCAUAACCCGUGUGGGGUAUGCGUAGCGAAGGCGAGUCUUAAAAGGCGUUUGAGUCGCGUGUCCUGGACCCGAAGCGGGAUGAUCUAGCCCUGAGCAGGUUGAAGCGCGGGUAAGACCGUGUGGAGGACCGAACCCACCUGGGUUGAAAACCGGGGGGAUGACUUGGGGCUAGGGGUGAAAGGCCAAUCAAAUUCCGUGAUAGCUGGUUCUCUCCGAAAUGCAUUUAGGUGCAGCGUCGGAUCGAUUACAUCCGGGGGGUAGAGCGACUGGAUGCUUGCGGGCCCAUAUCGGGUACCAACAGCAACCAAACUCCGAAUACCCGUGAUGCGUAUCCCGGCAGUGAGUCGGCGGGGGAUAAGCUCCGUCGUCGAAAGGGAAACAGCCCAGAUCGUCGUCUAAGGUCCCCAAGCGUGUGCUAAGUGGGAAAGGAUGUGGAGUCGCAUAGACAGCCAGGAGGUUGGCUCAGAAGCAGCCACCCUUGAAAGAGUGCGUAACAGCUCACUGGUCUAGUGGUUCCGCGCCGACAAUGUAGCGGGGCUCAAGCACACCACCGAAGACGCGGCAGUAGCUUUGCUACUGGGUAGGAGAGCGUCCCAUGCGGGGCGAAGCGGCGGCGCAAGCCCGCCGUGGACCGCAUGGGAGUGAGAAUGCAGACAUGAGUAGCGAAAGACGGGUGAAGAUCCCGUCCGCUGGACGACCAAGGGUUCCAGGGCCACGUUCAUCGUCCCUGGGUGAGUCGGGUCCUAAGGCGAGGCCGACAGGCGUAGUCGAAUGGACGAACGGGUCGAUAUUCCCGUACCGGCAUGCAACCGGCAAAACCGAAUCCGCGAGUACUAACUUCCGGGUCCGGGCUUACGUCUCCUUCGGGAGCCGGAUGCCCUGGCCUGUUGGGACCGUAACGGUAGUAGGUCAGCGCGGGAGUGACGCAGAAGGGUAGCCGGCCGCGGAGGUGGUCUUCCGUGGUCAAGCACGCAGCCCGUCCCACAGGCAAAUCCGUGGGGCGCGUGGGCGAGGUGCGAUGAUGGGCGCCGCAGGGCGCGAUAUCCGGUGAUCCCGGCUGCCGAGAAAAGCUUCGGCGUGAGGCGGCAUGCCGCCCGUACCCCAAACCGACACUGGUGGUCAGGUAGAGAAUACCAAAGCGAUCGAGCGAAUCCUGGUCAAGGAACUCGGCAAAUCACUCCCGUUCCUUCGGUUUAAGGGAGACCCCCGAUGGUGAAGCGGCUUGCCCGCGGAGCUUUUGGGGGUGGCACAGACCAGGGGGUAGCGACUGUUUACCAAAAACACAGGAGCGUGCGAAGGCGCAAGCCGCUGUAUACGCUCUGACGCCUGCCCGGUGCCGGAAGGUUAAGAGGAUCCGUCAGGCCUCGGCCGAAGCGGUGAAUUCAAGCCCCGGUAAACGGCGGUGGUAACUAUAACCAUCCUAAGGUAGCGAAAUUCCUUGUCGGGUAAGUUCCGACCUGCACGAAUGGCGUAACGACUUCCCCACUGUCUCGACCAGGAGCUCGGCGAAAUUGCAGUACGAGUAAAGAUGCUCGUUAAGCGCAGAAGGACGAAAAGACCCCGGGACCUUUACUAUACCUUGGUAUUGGCAUUCGGUGUGGAUUGUGUAGCAUAGGCGGAAGGCUUCGAAGCCACGGCGCCAGCCGCGGUGGAGCCGCAAGGUGAAAUACCGCUCUGUUCGCAUUGGAUGUCUAACCUCGACCAGUCAUCCUGGUCAGGGACAGUGCCUGGCGGGUAGUUUAACUGGGGCGGUUGCCUCCCAAAGAGUAACGGAGGCGCUCAAAGGUUCCCUCAGCCCGGUUGGCAAUCGGGUGGCGAGUGUAAGUGCACAAGGGAGCUUGACUGCGAGACUGACGGGUCGAGCAGGGACGAAAGUCGGAACUAGUGAUCCGGUGCCGGUGUACGGACGCGGCAUCGCUCAACGGAUAAAAGGUACCCCGGGGAUAACAGGCUGAUCAUUCCCAAGAGUCCAUAUCGACGGGAUGGUUUGGCACCUCGAUGUCGGCUCGUCGCAUCCUGGGGCUGGAGCAGGUCCCAAGGGUUCGGCUGUUCGCCGAUUAAAGCGGCACGCGAGCUGGGUUCAGAACGUCGUGAGACAGUUUGGUCUCUAUCCUCUGCGCUCGUCGGAAUGUUGAGGAGGCCUGCCCAUAGUACGAGAGGACCUGGGUGGACGAACCUCUGGUAUGCCGGUUGUCACGCCAGUGGCACGGCCGGUUGGCUACGUUCGGAAGGGAUAACCGCUGAAAGCAUCUAAGCGGGAAGCCUGCUCCAAGAUAAGCAUUCCAUAGGACUACGGGUCCUUGAAGUCCCCAUGCAGAACACGUGGUUGAUAGGCCGGACGUGGAAGCCCCGCGAGGGGUGGAGCCGACCGGUACUAACGGAC
rnacentral:rRNA from 1 species